UCCGGAGGGUGCGAGCGUUAUCCGGAAUUACUGGGUUUAAAGGGUGCGUAGGCGGCUGUGUAAGUCAGGAGUGAAAGUUUGCGGCUCAACCGUAAAAUUGCUUUUGAUACUGCACGGCUGGAAUCAGGAUGAGGUCAGCGGAAUGUGGCAUGUAGCGGUGAAAUGCAUAGAUAUGCCAUAGAACACCAAUUGCGAAGGCAGCUGGCUAGACCUGUAUUGACGCUGAGGCACGAAAGCGUGGGGAGCGAACAGG
rnacentral:rRNA from 1 species